AUGUAUGUUGAAGAAGAACUUCACUGGCAUCAAUUUUCUAAUGAGAGGUGGUUGUUGAAAGGAGACAAUAACACUGACUUUUUCCACAAAGUAGCUAAUGGACGCCGUAGGAAAAACUCCAUGAUCUCCCUGGAGUGCGGGUCCACUAUUAUUGAAGGCACUAAAAACCUACUGGCCCAUGCUACUGAUUACUAUAAAACCUUGUUUGGACUUGCUCCUGGCAUUAUUUGUCAGAUAGAUGCAGAUUUGUGGUCUCAAGAUGAGAUGAUUACUCCUGAUGACAAUGAGGACUUGACUCGACCUUUCUCAUUGGAAGAGAUCAAGAAAGCAUUAUUUGAGAUGAAAUCUAACCGAGCCCCUGGCCCAGACGAUAUCCCUGUUGAAUUUUAUCAACACUGCUGGGAUGUAGUAGCCCAUGAUCUCUUAUGCCUGUUUGAAUGGUUUCAUGAAGACAAGUUAGAUGUCCAACGACUUAAUUAUGGAAUCAUAACCUUGCUACCUAAGUCGACUGAUGCUAAUAAAAUCCAGCAGUAUAGGCCCAUUUGUCUGUUACGUUGCCCUUACAAGUUACUCACUAAAGCCAUGGAUAUUAGAGCUAGCAAAUAUGCCCAUAAAUUGUUCAGUAUUCAACAGAAUGCUCUUAUUAAGGGGAGACACAUAGUGGAUGGGAUCCUAUCGCUUCAUGAGGUCCUACAUUAUACACACCUCAAAAAACAAGUGGGAGUGGUUCUUAAACUUGAUUUCGAGAAAGCAUAUGACAAAGUCAACUGGGACUUUUUGCUUGAUUGUCAUAGGAAGCGUGGAUUUAGCUCUAAAUGGUGUGGAUGGGUAUCUCAAAUCCUAAAAAAGGGCACGGUUAGUGUCAAGAUUAAUAAUGAGGUGGGACCUUACAUUCAAAGUGCUAAGGGGGUGAGACAGGGGGAUGUUGGGGAACGCAGUAAUUUCAAAAAAAUUCCUACGCACACGCAAGAUCAUGGUGAUGCAUAG
rnacentral:rRNA from 1 species